UAUUAAGGUUGUUGAACCAGACAGAACGUCAUGGCGGACUCGCUUGAAAGUCAAUCAACAGCAGCUCUGCUGAGUAUGAAAGAUGGUGAACAUUGAAUUCCCUUAGUAUGGAUAAUGUAAUAUGAAUCUGAAGAUGUCCAAGUAAUUACGAUCCACCAACUCCAGAAAGCCAUUCUGGUGCCAAUAAGAGAGCUGCUCAAAAAAUUGGUGUUCAGCUUUGAAACCUUUUGAAACUACCAAAAUCCCACAGAUGGGUGUGGUUUUAUUCAAAUAUUGACAAGCCACUUUUCUUUGGUGACAAUGAAUUUUCAGUGUGUGUGUUCGAGAAUCUUUCCCUCAAUUGAAGACCAGAAAACUGAGACGUGAAGAAUGGGUCAAAAUCAGAAGACUCAUGGGAAAGCCUCGA